rnacentral:rRNA from 1 species
AUUGAACGCUGGCGGUAGGCCUAACACAUGCAAGUCGAGCGGAUGAAGGGAGCUUGCUCCUGGAUUCAGCGGCGGACGGGUGAGUAAUGCCUAGGAAUCUGCCUGGUAGUGGGGGAUAACGUCCGGAAACGGGCGCUAAUAACGCAUACGUCCUGAGGGAGAAAGUGGGGGAUCUUCGGACCUCACGCUAUCAGAUGAGCCUAGGUCGGAUUAGCUAGUUGGGGGGGUAAAGGCCUACCAAGGCGACGAUCCGUAACUGGUCUGAGAGGAUGAUCAGUCACACUGGAACUGAGACACGGUCCAGACCACUACGGGAGGGAGCAGUGGGGAAUAGUGGACUGAGGGCGGAAGCCUGAUCCAGCCAUGCCGCGUGUGUGAAAAGGGUAUUCGGAUUGUAAAGCACUUUAAGUUGGGAGGAAGGGCAGUAAGUUAAUACCGUGCUGUUUUGAAGGUACCAAAAGAAUAAGCACCGGCUAACUUCGUG